UGGGGAAUAUUGGACAAUGGGCGAAAGCCUGAUCCAGCCAUGCCGCGUGUGUGAAGAAGGUCUUCGGAUUGUAAAGAACUUUAAGUUGGGAGGAAGGGCAUUAACCUAAUACGUUAGUGUUUUGACGUUACCGACAGAAUAAGCACCGGCUCACUCUGUGCCAGCAGCCGCGGUAAUACAGAGGGUGCAAGCGUUAAUCGGAAUUACUGGGCGUAAAGCGCGCGUAGGUGGUUUGUUAAGUUGGAUGUGAAAUCCCCGGGCUCAACCUGGGAACUGCAUUCAAAACUGACUGACUAGAGUAUGGUAGAGGGUGGUGGAAUUUCCUGUGUAGCGGUGAAAUGCGUAGAUAUAGGAAGGAACACCAGUGGCGAAGGCGACCACCUGGACUAAUACUGACACUGAGGUGCGAAAGCGUGGGGAGCAAACA
rnacentral:rRNA from 1 species